rnacentral:tRNA from 1 species
GCCGGGGUGGUGAAAUUUGGUAUACACGUACGCUUGAGGUGCGUAUGCCGUAAGGCGUGCAGGUUCAAGUCCUGUCCCCGGCA